ACACCUGGGUGACAAGUGCGUGCAUUCAUUCGAGAACAGCAGACUUGAACUCACCCUGUAAGGUCUUCAUUUUUUUUUCCUUAUAGCAAGUUGCCUGUUGCAUACCUAGUUCUCUACAUCUCGGAACUAUGGAUUGUCUAUCGAACAAGAUGAUCUCUGCUUGUUUUCUUAUGCUCAUCAUCCACUGUCUGGCAUUGUCUAUCAGCGUAGAAGGAUUCCCUCGUUCUCGAGACGAGGUCUCCUAUAGCGAACUGAAACCUGGCAGAAGUAUUGCCAUUUUGAACCCAGUAUUCGAGGAAGACCCCUGGAGCGACCAAGAGCACGCCAUCCAAACAAGAAAUAACAAACCAUCCUCAUAUCUCUUGGGUGGAGCCCUUGGGAAAUGAACCGUGGACAUGUCGCAGGAUGAUUAAAAUUUCUUUAAAAUAAAACAUAAUAAUAUAAAGAUU
rnacentral:sRNA from 1 species